rnacentral:rRNA from 1 species
UAGGGAAUCUUCGGCAAUGGACGAAAGUCUGACCGAGCAACGCCGCGUGAGUGAAGAAGGUUUUCGGAUCGUAAAACUCUGUUGUUAGAGAAGAACAAGGACGUUAGUAACUGAACGUCCCCUGACGGUAUCUAACCAGAAAGCCACGGCUAACUACGUGCCAGCAGCCGCGGUAAUACGUAGGUGGCAAGCGUUGUCCGGAUUUAUUGGGCGUAAAGCGAGCGCAGGCGGUUUCUUAAGUCUGAUGUGAAAGCCCCCGGCUCAACCGGGGAGGGUCAUUGGAAACUGGGAGACUUGAGUGCAGAAGAGGGGAGUGGAAGUCCAUGUGUAGGGGUGAAAUGCGUAGAUAUAUGGAGGAACGCCAGUGGCGAAGGCGGCUCUCUGGUCUGUAACUGACGGUCAGGUGCGAAAGCGUGGGGAGGAAACAGG